CCAGCGUCACUUUCUAAGCCUGCCAGCAGCAAGCUCCCAAGUCCCAUUUUUCACUUCAUUCUCUGAAUCUAAACUUCUCCAAAAUGACCCAGCGAAGCCACAUCUCCAUGACCCGCUCUACACCACAGUUCCGUGCUGCCAGCAUUUAUGGUGGUGCUGGCGGAUAUGGUGCCCGUAUCUCCUCUGUCUCCUCGUCUUCCCUGCGCUCUAGUGCCCCAGUCACCUCUUCCUCAACUGCCUUCAAGCUGAGCAGUGGAAUGGGUGGAGGUAUGGGUGCAGGUUUUGGUGGUGCUGGUUCAUCCAUGGGAACCAGUGGUGCUGGGAUCCUGGGCAAUGAGAAGGGAGCCAUGCAAAACCUUAACGACCGUCUGGCCAACUACCUGGAUACAGUGAGGAACCUGGAACAGGCCAACAAGGCGCUGGAGAUGAAAAUCAGGGAUGCCCUGGAGAAGGGUGGGCCCGACUUGAGAAACUACAGCAAGUAUGAACCCAUUAUUGACGACCUACGCAACCAGAUCUUCGCUAAGAUAGUGGAGAAUGCUCGUUUUGUGCUCCAAAUCGACAAUGCCCGUCUUGCUGCCGACGACUUCAAAGUAAAGUUCGACAAUGAGAUGGCAAUCCGCCAGUCUGUGGAGGCUGACAUUGCUGGCCUGAAGAAACUCAUCGAUGACACCAACAUGAGCAGGAUGAACAUCGAGAGUGAGAUUGAAGCUGUGAGAGAGGAGCUCGUCUUCCUAAGGAAGAACCAUGAGAAUGAGGUGAUGGAGCUGAGGAAUCAGAUCUCCCAGUCAGGUGUACAAGUGGACAUAGACGCUCCCAAAGGUCAGGACCUGGCCCAGAUCAUGCAGGACAUGAGGUCCGGCUAUGAGAAGAUUGCAAUGAAGAAUGCAGAGGACCUAAAACGUUGGCAUGAAAAUCAGAUUGCAGAUAUACAGGUGCAGGUAUCACAGAACACAGAAGCUCUGCAGGGAGCCCAAAUGGAGAAGACUGACUUAUCCAGACAGAUACAGACCCUGGAAAUUGAACUUGCAUCCCAACAGAGCCUAAAAGCCUCCUUAGAAGACACGCUACACAACACAGAGCUGCGAAACAACAUGGAAAUGGAGAAGUACAACACCAUUACUAUUCAUCUGGAGGAGGAGUUGACCAAAUUGCGUGCAAACAUCCAGCAACAGACCCAAGACUAUGAGGCACUCCUCAACAUGAAGAUGAAACUAGAGGCAGAGAUUGGCACUUACAAGACUCUGCUGGAUGGUGGAGACUUCAAGUAAGAGUUAUUAAAAGAGUUGGAGGAGAAAAAACAGAUCGAGGCAAGGUGAUGAUGGUGGUGGAGGCUCCAGGAUGCACUAGACGAGCUGGCGGGCACAAUGUAAUUUGGAACAAAGGGUCUGGGACCAUCCCAACAAUGAAACCAACGCAAGCCACAACUAUCAGUGAUGGAAAAAAUGUCCUGCUGGUCCAAUCAACUGAAACAAGACCACAUACCGUGUAAACCAUAAAGGAUUUAAGCAAUUCUGAAUAAAGGCAUUCUGAGCCUUUAUGCAGAGCUGUUUCGAAAGCAAUCACUGCCUGACCUGGCAGCAAAUUGAAAAUGAAUAAAACCAGCUGCUGACCCACA